rnacentral:lncRNA from 1 species
UCCAGAACAUAUAAAUUGUACCGAUUAGANCUUUACCAAUAUGCAAGCCUAAUAAGUAAUUGGCUAUCUAUGUCGAACUCAGACAACAAACCUCCAUCAAAGUCAUCAAGAGAACUGAUCGACGAGCCUCCCUCCCAAGAGCUAAGGAUCGAUUAGUGGAGGAAGUCGGUGUGAGAGGUAACUUGAGGGCGAGGCCCUCCUAUCUCUUGUGUAGAGGACUAGAGGGGUAGCUCGAGAUAUGGUUGGACUAUCCUCAGAGUUGGUGGCUUCCUGUUUUCAGUAGAGGAAAACCUGGAAGCUUCUCCUCCCUUCCCCCAUUUUUCUUUUUUUCUAUGUCGGUCUCUAAUGUCGGUUCCCCAAAACUGACCUUUCUAGACCUCUUGACCCUCUCCUCCUUUCUAGACCUCUUCUUCUCUUCCGUAAUUAUACUUACCCAAUUUAUGUAUUCACUACCAGAAGAAAGGCUUUAGCCGACGAAAAUAAAAAAACCAGGCCGACGAAUUAUUUUUUCGUCGGCUAAUUUAAAAUUUUCCUUCGUCGGCUAAUUUAAAAUUUUCCUUCGUCGGCUAUGGUCAACUUUAGCCGACGAAAUUAAAAUUUGGUCGUCUGAAUAAUUUUUUUCGUCGGCUAUAGUCUGUGAACUUUAGCCGAAGAAAUUUUUUAAAAUUUUAGCCGACGAAAAAUAUAAUUUCGUCGGCUAAAGUAUUUAAAUAUUUGCAGAUCUAGACAACAACUCAUCUGUGAAAAAAAAAACUAUACGUAGAACCUUCAAACACAAAAAAGUCGUGAAAUAAGAUAUGACCAGAAUGGUGAAAUACGUCUACUGUCGAAAAAUCACGGUAUUCCGGUAAAGUCUCGGUGCCGAUAGUUGCGGUCAAUGCAAUUUACCCUUAUUAUUCACUAUGCUGCAGAUUUGGUUUUUGGUGUCUAAUUGACUAUUGUGAUACCUUUCCGAAAGCGUAACGGCCCUACGAGUUAGACUCAUCGUUAGUGCCAUGAUGUAUGGGCAUUUUUGGCCAUCCGAGUCCGUUUAGGGCUUCAAAAUGCAAUUUUCUUAUUUCCGAUUAGAGUUGACCGUUUCGAUCGAGCCCUUAACGUUGUCGAAUCCAGUUGAAUUUUUUACCAUAG